rnacentral:rRNA from 1 species
ACUACGGGAGGCAGCAGUAGGGAAUCUUUCACAAUGGGCGAAAGCCUGAUGGAGCAACGCCGCGUGCAGGAUGAAGGCCUUUGGGUUGUAAACUGCUUUUAUAAGCGAGAAAUAUGAUGGUAACUUAUGAAUCAGGAUCGGCUAACUACGUGCCAGCAGCCGCGGUCAUACGUAGGAUCCGCUCAUUAUCCGGAGUGACUGGGGGUAAAGAGUUGCGUAGGUGGCAUAAUAAGUAGCUAGUGAAAUCUGGUGGCUCAACCAUUCAGACUAUUAGCUAAACUGUUAAGCUCGAGACCGUUAGGGGUAACUGGAAUUUCUAGUGUAGGAGUGAAAGCCGUAGAUAUUAGAAGGAACACCAAUAGCGUAGGCAGGUUACUGGGACGGGUCUGACACUAAGGCACGAAAGCGUAGGGAGCAAACGGGAUUAGAUACCCGUGUAGUC